AGCACGGGGCUGGAGGAAAACUGAAACCUUCUCCUAAAUUAGAAUCAGUCUAAGGUUCCUGGAAAGCCAGGGCUUCUGUAGUUGUCCCAGAGUUCUUCAAUAAUCUGUUCAGUGUUUUUUUUUCAGUCUUUUUCUCUUUGCUUUUUGAGUUUUAGAGGUUUCUAUCGAUGUGCUCUCGAGCUCAGAGGUUCUCUCCUCAGCCAUGUCCAGUCUGCCAACAAGUCCCUCAGAGGCGUUCUUCACUCCGUCACAGUGUUGUCGAGCUCUAGUAUUUCUUCUUGCUUCUGUCUUAGAUUUUGCAUAUCACCGCUUACAUUGCCCAGCUGUUCCUGCGUAUUGACUACUUUUUCCAUUAGAGCUCUUAGCUUAUUACCCGUAGUUCUUUUAAAUUCCUGGCCUGAUAACGCUAAUAUCCCCGCCAUGUCCGGGUCUGGUUCUGAUGCUUGCUCUGUCUCUUCAGACUGUUUUUUACCCUUAGGUGUGCCUAGCAAUUCUUUGUUGAAGUGGACGUGAUGGACCGGGUAGUAGGCACUCCGGAAACAGGCCUCACGUGCUGUGGUGGUGAGAUGAGGAAAUUGGGGCACAGAGAAGUUGACUAUUUGCUCACUUUCACUUGGCCUGAAAGGGGUGUGGUUGAAUUUGGACUCCCGGCUUUCUGGCUCUGCAGAAACGUCUGAUACUGAUCGCCUCCUCUGCAUCGCCCCUCAAAUUUAGGCCCUCCUGCUGUCUCCUUUAGAAGAUUUCGGAAGCUCUGUGACCUGCCUCGCUUGCAAUGGCCAGGCCCGCUCAAAGCUCCAGGAUUCCCUGCUGGGCAGUCACACACCUGCCAAAGCACAGCAUUCAAGUCUCCCAAGAAACCAGCCAUGGAAGGCUUCCUACCUGAGCAAACACUCUUUGUUUGACUUGUUCAGAGACCACAGAGGCCAGCACACCUGCAGAUGGGAGGAGAAAGUCUGGCUCCAUUCCUGCUAAGACCCGACUCAAAGACUCAGCCUCCUUGAGCUCUCUGCAGGGUGAUGUUACUGUCUGUUUCCCCAGAGGGAGACGCCACUGGGGCCUGUCUGGCUGUGCUAGUCUGGAUUUUCAUGUUUUGUUAUUUUCCUGUAUCUCAUCAGUGAGAGAAACAGCUUGCAAUUUAUGACUUCCUUACUCAUUUUUUUCCCUUAGUGUCUCAAGUCUUCUCCUGUAUCCCCCCGUCCUCCCCUCAGCUGUCAGUGUGAGCUUUCCUGUAUUUGAUCAGACUCCUUUCCUCCCAUUCCCCACAGGCAGCGCUUGACCAAGAGGUGAAGACGAGAUGCGGGCUCUUGGUUCUGGGGAAAGGUGGUUCCUCUCGGUCAGACUUUAGGGCUCUGCAAUCCCAGCCGUCGUUUCCAUCAGAUGUGAAGACAAAAGCUCCAAGCAGUUAACUCAUCUGCCCGAAGUUGUAUGGUGAAGCUGGCGACCGGGGAGGCCAGGAGGCAUCCUGGUUAGAAAAGCAGCUUGAACGGAACCAUGAAAGACAGCCAGGCCACCCACAGAACUACAAGGGCUGGCAAAAUCCAUGCUAAACUCGGCUGUCCUCCCUCCUGGAUCUGUGCCCACGCAGCCAAGAUUCAAUGGACGAAAACAUACACCUCUGCUUACUGACCUCUCCUUGGUUCAUGACAACCUAUCUCAAAUGAGCACUCCACGCGACCCUGCAAUUUGAUUCUCUUUGUUUUUGUUUUGUUUUUUUUUGCUUUUUCUCCCAAAAAUCCCCCCAGCACAUACUUGUAUAUUUUAGUUGUGGGUCCUUCUAGUUGUAGCAUGUGGGAUGCCACCACAGCAUGGCCUGAUGAGCGGUGCCAUAUCCGUGCCCAGGAUCCAAACCGGUGAAACCCUGG
rnacentral:lncRNA from 1 species